UACGGGGGGGGCAAGCGUUGUUCGGAAUUACUGGGCGUAAAGGGCUCGUAGGCGGCCAACUAAGUCAGACGUGAAAUCCCUCGGCUUGACCGGGGAACUGCGUCUGAUACUGGAUGGCUAGAGGUUGGGAGAGGGAUGCGGAAUUCCAGGUGUAGCGGUGAAAUGCGUAGAUAUCUGGAGGAACACCGGUGGCGAAGGCGGCAUCCCGGACCAAUUCUGACGCUGAGGAGCGAAAGCCAGGGGAGCAAACGGG
rnacentral:rRNA from 1 species